CUAGCCCCGCCCCUGACCACCUAGGAGCUGGGUGGCCUGUGAAUCUGAGUCCCCUCCCCUGUCAGAGACGCUGCACCUCUGGAGAAAGGGCUAGCCUGGUUGGAUUCACUCACAAAACCCUGACUGGUGCACUGGACUUCAGAGAUCCGAUAUACUAGACUUCAAAGACUGGACUCAAGUUCUUCCAGAAGAAAACAUACUCAGGAGCUCUUCAAAUGCUGUCACUGUACAGUAGGUUGACAGCAUCCGUGAAAAGGGAGUGAGUGGGAGAACCUCAGUACAAAUGGGUCAACAUCUUGUCCCAGAUGGCACAGUAGGACUGUUCGUCCUCUUGACAUGUUCCAGAAAGUCCUUUUUAACAUGCAGAGAAGAACACACUGCUCUCUGUCGACUACAGAAACCUCCAAACACCUCUACAGUGCUCUCCAGGAUGCAGCCCUAUCCCCCCUCCAGCUCACUGCCCUCCACCUCCUCAUGCUCCUCACCCCAGGCUCACAGACCUGCAUCCAGUCCCCUAUAAAUCCAUGGUGACCCUCA